rnacentral:lncRNA from 1 species
CACAGCACGCACGUCCCCUCCCCACGCCAACACGCAUGAAAAGUGCACACAUCGUGCACGUCUCGUCAGUGCGCAUGGCGCAGGAUCAAGACCUAUGCUCAGCAUCCUGUCACGCGCAGGUGGGCUGUCCGCACGUCACUACAUGCGUGGACUAGCAUCGCACAUUGUGCGUGCACUGUUCGCACAGCAGGCUUGUGCAGAUAUGCCCUGUGCGCUUGGGGCUUGCGCAUAGUAGGCCUGCGUGCACAGAGCCCAGUACACCAAGGCCCUACACCUGCGCAGGCUAGCCCCUGCGCGCGUAGCAGCAGGCCUGUGCCCCUGCAGGCUAGGCUGCAGCGUGCCGACCUGGCACUACCACCUCAAGCAGUGCACCGCUAUUGCCUUGGGUGUCGUGUUGCCACUGUUAGUGGAGGAAAAUUUUCUCCCUCAUUUUUGGUGCCAAGAAUCCUUUUCUCCUCUCUCUUCACUGGAUUUCGACACUUGGUGUGAAUCCAACAGUUCUAAAAUUUUAUAAAUUGCCCUUCCCCUUCCCUUGCUCUCCACACUUCUAUUUUUUUCAUUUUUCAAAGUUUUAGAGAGAGAAAGAGAGAGAGAUAGUAAAAUAGUGAGAGAAGAAGAGAAAGAAAGGAAAAUGGUGAAGAAGGAAGCAUUAAGGUUUCGGUAAGGAAUCUAAUAUUACUUUCGACGUCUUAAGGAAUAUUUUUAGAUAAGAAAAUUUAAUAUAAUUGUUAUUUUGUUUGUUUUGCAUGCCUAUGUGUUCAAAUGAGUCAAAUUGUUCUUAUUUUUAAGCAUGCUAUAUGAAUUGUUGAUAUUUGAUGAACUCACCGGUAAUAAAUAUAAUAUAUAGUCUGUAAUAAUAAAAGUAAAAAGAAAAGAAAAAGAGAAAAGUAGAAUGCAGCAUGUGGGGUCUGAAGCAUAUCUGUAUUGAUAUGCAUAUUGCAUCAAGUAUUUCGUUAGCCUUUUUUUCUCUGAGGGGUAUCUAUUCCCCUUGCCCUUUGGGCUAUCUUUUUUCCCCUCCUGUAUCUGGUCUAAAAAGACGUAAGAGGACUGCUCCUAUUGGAUGAUGG